CUUUAAAAAGUAAAUAAAUAAUCUCACAACUACCAACUCAAGUGAAGAUAUUAAUGAGAAAUCCGAAAUAUCCAAAUUCACAAUGUCGAGUUCCGAUAGGACAUUUACGAAAGUGGCAUUGUAUUCAGCCGUAGUUGCUGGAUUUGCUUACGUGGGAUACAAAGUCGUCAAAGAAAGCAUAAAUAAAUGGAAACCUCCUCAAGGAAAUGGUAAAUUGUAUGUACGGAGACUUUCAGGUUCGGAUAUUCUUCUUGAGAAUUUGGAAAAUGCAUUUUCAAACGGGAGAGGAGAAUAUCGAAUUAGACCUUUCAAUGUGAAGGAACGAAUUAAAGAUUUGAAUCUCCAAGCCCUUCAAUUUGCAGACACUGUCAUGGCACUUGAGAAACCCUCUCCUCCUGGAGUAACACGCAGUCUUAGUUCAACCCCUCUAGGAUCACCAAAGCACGCUACUAGUCCUGUAGAAUUUAGAGUUUCUUGUCCUGAAAGACUUUUACAACUUCGGGAAGAAGAAUUGAAACAUCGACUCCAGGAUAUGUUUCAUAAGCCUCAAAAAUUAUUAACUCCAUAUGAAGCCAAAUGUUUGGUAGCUUUAUUACAUACGGAAGAAGUGGAUGUUUUGGAAAAGUCAUUGGUUACACUCUUGAAAUGCACUGCAUUCUCUGACAAUCAGAAAACACUGAGAGAUGUUAAAGUUCUCCGGCAAUUGCAACGUUUGUUAAUUCAUCGAGAAACCAAAAUAAAGAUUGCAUGUAUUAAAGUCUUAGCAAACAUGGCCUUAAAUCUUGAAAACCAGCCACAUAUGGAUUUUGUCAUUCCUUCGUUAGUGCCAAUAGUUUUAAAAACCAGGAAUGAAGACCUUCUCUUGAACGCUUUGAUUGGUAUUACUAAUUUGAUUGUUUUAGACACCUGGAUAAAACAGAUAGAUGAACCUUUCCUAAUAUUUAUAAGUGGACUAAUUCUGAAUGAUAAAAAAGAGAUUCGUCUACAAGCACUUAAACUUCUAGCUAAUGUAUCUUCAUAUGAGUGUAUGAUAAACUUAUUGUUGAAGUCAAUGGUUUUGUUGUCUGUUGGUCGGAGGCUUUGUGAGGUUGAGAAUGAAGAUGAAAUUCUACGAAUGACAACGGUUAUGGCCAAUGCUUUACCCUUUAUUAUCGAACAUUUAGAUGAAAGCAUGCAUAAGUUAUUAUUUGAAAAAGGGCACCUUCCAGAAAUGAAGAAAAAGUUAUAUGAUCUCAUGAAAACACAUCCACACGAAGAUAUUAAAAAGAAUUCACGUAUAUGCUAUAUGGCAUAUAAACCCAUGUAGGCGAGUUACACUAACAAUAUAUUUCUCUAUUAUUCUCUGUAAUAUUGGAACAUAGCCAGUGGUGGAGUAGCUCAAGGGGAUAGAUCUUUAUUUUUUUUUAGAAAAUCAAUUUCAGAUCUUCUUUCGAUUUGGCGCCCUGGAUCCAGAGUUAAUUUUAAAGUGAGUGAGCCCGAGACGAAUAUAAGUAUAUGAUGCCAUUUUCUAUCUUACCUUCUUACAAAAUUGAAUUUAAUUUCGAUAUUUUUUUAUUAUUAUUUAAGAGGAGGAAUUUCCAUUUCUUUCUUAAAUGGAAGAAACUAAAUAAGUAGAUAUGCAAUUUUAUUUCUACGCGGCAAUGUAAAAUGACUUUUUAAAUAUAAUUUUGUUAUAUUUUAAACGAUGAGUUUCUUAAUUGAAUAACUAAAUUGGUGCCCUAUAAAUAUUUAUUGCUGGGGAUAGGUCUGGUUUAAUGAGGGCACUAGGGGCCAGUUUUUAAAAAUAAAUAACUUUAAAACUUAAAUUAAUUAAAUACGGAACAAUUUAUUUAGAAAAGACAUAUAGCCUUUUCUAAAAAAAAAAAAGUUAGUUUAAAAAUAAAAGAAAACAUUAUUUUCUAAAAAACGUCGAUAAGUAUGUCAAAAAAUAAUUAAAAAUGGUCGCUUUUUCAAAAGGGCCCCACAUUAUAUUUUAUUUCUAAAAAUUGAAAAAUAUUAUUAAAUUUUUCAAUUAUCUUUGCCCCACUGACACUAAAACUAGCCCUGUUUAGAAUGUGUGCCCCCUACUACUUCGCCACAUAUGUUAAUUAAUCAAUAUUUGCAUGUUAAUUAAACAAUAUUAGUUCCUAUGUUUUGUAAAGGAUUGAUAAUUACUGUUGAUUUUCUAUGAACUUUUUCUAAAUUCAAUUAUU
rnacentral:misc_RNA from 1 species